CUGCUAUCAGUUGAGGUUCACAGCAUCAUUGAAGCUUUUUCUGUUUUCAUUAUAAGGAAAGAGAAGAGAGGCU